rnacentral:tRNA from 2 species
AGUUGAUUAAGCUUUAGAAAAGCAUAUAUUUUGAAAAUAUAAGAUAGAAGUUAAAUUCCUCUAUCAACUU